GGGGUGGGGGAGGGAUAUCAUAGGUGAGGAGAAGAAACCGGCAGGUCAGCGCGUCGUAGUCUGCAGGAUAGCAAGGAAGAUGUUGGAGGUGUUGUUCAUGCAGGCUGGCCGGAUGAACGACGGGACUGCUUGUUAUGGUGGGUAGCGCCGCGACUCGUCUGUCUCCGCCAGCGCCAAACAGCUGUACCAGAGGAGUCGGAUGAUGGACUGACCGGCUAACUGCUUGUUUGACGCGUGUGAGGCAGCGGUAACUACGUAGGUCAAGCAAGCACGCCUCCACUACCUAUGGUCUCCUCAAACCUGUCGUCACCAAGCAGCGGAGCUGUGACACGUGUCAGUGGUGAUGGAGUCUGCAUGCAAGGGCCCUUCAAGCACUGCGGCUGAUCGCCUCUAGUCUGCCGGCGCUGAGCAGGAUGUUUGCCGGAGACGAGUGACAGAUGGCGCUGAUGUGUCAAGCCUGACGCAACAGACCGUACUGGUGGCUGCCUUGUCUGGCAGCGCCACGCAGCGACGAGGAGGGUGAUGGAUGGGUGUUCGAAGUUGGUGGACUCCUGUAUUUGAUCGUUCGUUGGUUCCUGGUCCGCUGGCUUCUUACCUCACCUGCUGUUGCUGGCGCCGCCUGCUCAAAACUUCCCUUCGUCACCUGCGCCAGAGUAGCGGCCGAGGACGCUAUAACUUGUUAUACGUACUGUAUACGUACCCAGAGCGGCGCCUCCCCAUUCCUUGGCGUGGGUGAGGCGCCUUCCGACCCUCCACUCAGGGAUCAGUAGUGUUGCUGGUUAAUGAAUAACAUCAUGGUUUUAGGAGUUCGGGAGAUAUUUCACUUUUUUUUUUUUUUUUUCGCUGGGAAUUCGAAAUAUCGGAAUUCGAAAUACCGUUUCUCCGAACGCUCUUCGUUAUUAUUGUAAACCGUGUAAAUAAUAAUAAA
rnacentral:lncRNA from 1 species